rnacentral:rRNA from 1 species
CGAACGCUGGCGGCAGGCUUAACACAUGCAAGUCGAGCGGGCGUAGCAAUACGUCAGCGGCAGACGGGUGAGUAACGCGUGGGAACGUACCUUUUGGUUCGGAACAACACAGGGAAACUUGUGCUAAUACCGGAUAAGCCCUUACGGGGAAAGAUUUAUCGCCGAAAGAUCGGCCCGCGUCUGAUUAGCUAGUUGGUAGGGUAAUGGCCUACCAAGGCGACGAUCAGUAGCUGGUCUGAGAGGAUGAUCAGCCACAUUGGGACUGAGACACGGCCCAAACUCCUACGGGAGGCAGCAGUGGGGAAUAUUGGACAAUUGGGGCAACCCUGAUCCAGCCAUGCCGCGUGAGUGAUGAAGGCCCUAGGGUUGUAAAGCUCUUUUGUGCGGGAAGAUAAUGACGGUACCGCAAGAAUAAGCCCCGGCUAACUUC